rnacentral:rRNA from 1 species
CAAUAGCGUAUAUUAAAGUUGUUGCAGUUAAAAAGCUCGUAGUUGAACUUCAGACCUGGCCGGGCGGUCUGCCUCACGGUAUGUACUGUCUGGCUGGGUCUUACCUCUUGGUGAGCCGGCAUGCUCUUUACUGGGUGUGUCGGGGAACCAGGACUUUUACCUUGAGAAAAUUAGAGUGUUCAAAGCAGGCCUUUGCCCGAAUACAUUAGCAUGGAAUAAUAAAAUAGGACGUGCGGUUCUAUUUUGUUGGUUUCUAGAGUCGCCGUAAUGAUUAAUAGGGAUAGUUGGGGGCAUUAGUAUUCAGUUGCUAGAGGUGAAAUUCUUGGAUUUACUGAAGACUAACUAUUGCGAAAGCAUUUGCCAAGGAUGUUUUCAUUAA